GCAUUCAGUCCAAAAUCCAUACAACAUAAAGGUACCCAACCUACCAGAAAUGUUUAAGCUUCUAUACAAUGUAGCUAUGCAACAAAAGAAAACAAAAGGAGCAAAAGUCCCAUAGAAGUCCUUGUACAUAUAUCUUAGAUUGCAUUUUCAGUUCCCUAUCCAAAAAAUAUGGGCAUAUUGGACUUUGUUGCUUAGAUAAAGUAGCAAAUUGUCCAUUGAUUAAUUUUUUACGGUUAAAUGCAUAUUUUGAUCUUCUAUAUAUACGGCAUAAUAAUAAAUUUAACUUUUAAUUUUUACACAUUUAUUCAAUUUGACACAAUUUCUUUUGAAGCAAAUUAACCCCCAACUUUUCAUUAAGGAUGUGAUACUAUUGUGUCUUAUUUUUUUAUAUUUUAAAAUAUUCUUUUGUAUUUAUAUAAUUGUUAAAAAAUUUAGAUUAUUUUGGGUAUAAUUAUAUGUGUUGUUGUCUGUUUUACGGUCUAAGACUAAUCUUAUUUAGGUCGAGGAUGAGAAUCACAUAAAGUCCUCACAACAAUGAGGACUCCAGGAUCCAAAUGCCUAAGGCAAAAGUGUAGUAGCCCAAAUUUGACCGGGCUAAAAACAAAAUUGGAUAAAUAAAUAUUUUUUUAUUUAAAAAGUCCAUUACAGUCCAGUUUACAAAGGCCCAAAUACCAAAACCCAGCACCCGCUUACAACCCAAUUAGCCUAAACCUUUGGCCCAAAAUUCAUUAACCCGUUACACCCAGACCCAAACAAGACCCAACCAAAACGAGGCCCAAUGCCUAAACAGAAUCUGGAAACCCUAAGGUUUCCAGAAGCUUCGCGCCGUAAUCACCCCAUCAGUCACGCCUCUUCAACCUCGGUCGUUCCAUCUACCCCCAUCGGCGCCGUGAUUCCAGGCCUCAAAUCUAGCCGUAGUUGAAGACGAAUGAAUGCAAAUCAGCGCCAGCACCUUCGUCAUCAGGGCCUAAUCAUCCUGGCCCACUGAUUUCCUCGCUAGAUACCUGUAAAAGGAAAGAAAGAAAAAACAGCAAACAAGAAAAAACAGAUAUAGAAAGAAAUGAAAAGAUUUCUUCCUAAAUAUGAAACGUGGCUAUAAAAGCCUCCUUUGUAACCUGUUUAAAGGGGGAUUUUUUCUUUUGGACAGAUACAAAAAAGAGAUAUACGCAUAUAUUUACAGAAAUAAAAAAUAUAGGCAGUUUUCAUACCAAGCAACAGAGGUGAUUUAUUUACUUUAUUUCUUUCUUUAUUUGCAUGUAAAUAGUGUUAACAAUAAGUAAAAGUUACCUGCUGUGUUGCGAGAGAAAGGGGAGUUUUUUCUGAACCAUAACCGCCGAGCACGGUGGCUCAGGCAGUGGCGCGUGAAGCGCGUGAGGCUAAAGGUGGUGGCACUCCGGGACGAGCCAGGACGGCCACUAGCUAGAGCUCUGAGAGAAUUUUAGAGCUUUAACCUUUUUUUUCUGUUGAAUGUCUAAAAUGACAGUUUAUAGGGUUUUUUUU
rnacentral:lncRNA from 1 species